rnacentral:lncRNA from 1 species
GAGACCCAAGUCCAGGGUGCAGCCUGGAAGUCUGAUUCCAGAGGAACAAAGAGACAAAUACCAACGUGGAUUCUGGCAGAGGGGAACAAUGCAGGUGCCCAAUAUACUGCCCCAUGGUUCAGAGACACAGAUACAGACCCACUUCAUGGCAGGAUGCUUACCUUGGAUGCUUACAUUUGGUGUCAAGAUGAAGGGGGGGCCUUUCCUGGAUGUCACUGGGAUGCCACAGCAGGCCUGUAGAAGUCACAUUGCAGGAAAGACGUUGGGCUUCCCAGGAGGAAAAGGGAAAGGGCUGGGGAUGAAAGAUCAAGCUCCCAGACCAUGAGGUUGAGACCUCUGAAAGCCGCCCUUUUGGAAACAAUGUCCCCAGAAGACAGAAAACUAAGGUAGAGGAAAUUCAAAAGUUGCAUGCUUUAUUUCAAGACCGAAAGUGAAGACUGCCACACAGGGAUGUGUCACGCAAAUGCCCCCAGCCCAGCCUCCCAGGAACUGCCAACCUGCUUCUGAGCAGCUGUGAUAAUAUUCAGUGCAGACUGUCAACUGCUGGCUGAGGGCAUUUUGCUUGAAGAGGGUGUCCUUUUUGGGGAUGGGAAGAGAACAGUGUCUAAGCAAAACAUUUGAAGA